GAAGUCUCAGGCAGAGUGCUUUUGGAUUACAGCCACUCUUGCUCAUCCAGAUAUUAUAGAUGUUUUACUGUGCAUACAGUAGAUGUAAUAGUUUGUGGCUAUUUUAAAAUAGGUCAAAGUCAAAUAGAACUAGCUAAUCUGUUUUGCUUUUAAACAUUUCUGUUCUGUUAUCUUUACAUUUAGGUUGCCAUCAUGAAAUUUCUCUCAUUUGCUGUGCAUGCCAGACUGUUGCAGAAAGUCUGUUGUUGCAUGGCUUGUGGCCUGCAACACCUGUCGAGCCCACCUUGGCUUUCACUAUGGAGUUAAUGCACUGGGCACUAGCCCUGAUGAUGGAAUGCCAAGUGUCUCUGUACGACUUCUGCAGAGCACUGGAAUUUUUCAAAAACCCUCUUUUAAAGAAAAGGACAGUGUACGAGCAGUUACUUGACAGCUUUGAAGAAUUCAGGCAUGUGUAAAUCAUAUCAAUUUAUUGUUUUUCUAAAUUUUUACUUUACAAGUGAUUUACUUGUGUCGUUGUUGUUAAAAAUACUUUAUUCUUUUUCAGUUUGAUAUCCUGGCUGAGGCAUUUUGUUACUUGAGGUGGAGCAAUUUGUCCAAAGUUUAAAAAUUUAAUACUAACUGUUUAACUUUUAGGUAUUAUGUUAAAGCUGGCUCUUGGUACAAUUGGGAAGAGGAAAAUUGUACAGCUAGAGCCCCAUACUGUCCAGCUUGUCCUAAGGAAAAUGGAAAGUUGUUUGUCUCUAUUGAUGCUUGUUUUGGUCUGCCAAGAAAGAAGACAUCUGGUGCUAGCCAUUGAAGUCCUUUAAGCAGCAACAUGUUCUUUCACAACCAAGAGCAUGUUGAUAACUUUAUGGCCAGUUAUCCUUCUUCAAAGAAUGAUUCAAAGAAGGUUUAUCUUCCAAUACAUACUUACAUGUAUCAACAACUAUUAACUGUAAUUAUUUUUGUAAACCAGCAGACAAAAAAAUUCCUCUCGACCAUUGAUUUUCCUUUUCAUUAUAAUUCUAGAGGAAUAAAGUUGUCCAUGUAUAUCCUAAAGUAUACAGCCAAGAUCUUUAUCCAUAGUAAUUAAGUUACAAAUAAUAUAAUAAUAUUAUUCUUACUGUACAGUUUGUGAAUAUGUAUUUUUAUUCCAGAUGU